rnacentral:rRNA from 1 species
AAUCAACGCUGGCGGCGUGCCUAAUGCAUGCAAGUCGAAUGGGAUCCACUUCGGUGGACACCCAUGGCGGACGGGUGAGGAACACGUAGCUAACCUGCCCCGAUGCGGGGGAUAUCCUCCGGAAACGGAGUGUAAUACCGCAUGUGGUGGUGUCGGGGGACGUGACAUCAUCAAAGGACUUCGGUCCGUGUUGGGAGGGGGCGUGCGGCCGAUUAGCUAGUUGGUGUAGUAACGGNGCACCAAGGCGAUGAUCGGUAGCUGGUCUGAGAGGACGGCCAGCCACACGGGGACUGAGACACGGCCCCGACUCCUACGGGAGGCAGCAGCAAGGAAUUUUCCACAAUGGGCGAAAGCCUGAUGGAGCAACGCCGCGUGCGGGAGGA